UACGUAGGGGGCAAGCGUUGCCCGGAAUCAUUGGGCGUAAAGAGCGUGUAGGCGGCUUGGUAAGUCCGCUGUGAAAGUCCAGGGCUCAACCCUGGAAAGCCGGUGGAAACUGUCAAGCUUGAGUCCGGAAGAGGCGAGUGGAAUUCCUGGUGUAGCGGUGAAAUGCGCAGAUAUCAGGAGGAACACCAAUGGCGAAGGCAGCUCGCUGGGACGGUACUGACGCUGAGACGCGAAAGCGUGGGGAGCGAACAGG
rnacentral:rRNA from 1 species